UGGCAGACGGGUGAGUAUCCCGUGGGAAGGACCAUUCGGUUCGGAAUAGCCCAGGGAAACUUGGGGUAAUACGGUUCCGCCCUUCGGGGGAAAGAUUUAUCGCCAAUGGAUGGGCCCGCGUCGGAUUAGCUAGUUGGUGGGGUAACGGCCUACCAAGGCGACGAUCCGUAGCUGGUCUGAGAGGAUGAUCAGCCACACUGGGACUGAGACACGGCCCAGACUCCUACGGGAGGCAGCAGUGGG
rnacentral:rRNA from 1 species